rnacentral:rRNA from 1 species
GACAGAGGUGGCAAGCGUUGUUCGGAUUCAUUGGGUGUAAAGGGUCUGUAGGUGGUCAAGCAAGUCUGACGUGAAAUCCCAUGGCUCAACCGUGGAACUGCGUUGGAAACUGCAUGACUUGAGUAUCGCAGAGGUGUAGGGAAUUCCCGGUGUAAGGGUGAAAUCUGUAGAUAUCGGGAGGAACACCAGUGGCGAAGGCGCUACACUGGGCGAUUACUGACACUGAGAGACGAAAGCAAGGGGAGCAAACAGG